CCUACGGGCGGCAGCAGUGAGGAAUAUUGGUCAAUGGACGAGAGUCUGAACCAGCCAAGUAGCGUGAAGGAUGAAUGUCCUAUGCGUUGUAAACUUCUUUUAUCAAGGGAUAAAACCAGGCACGUGUGCCUGUUUGCGUGUACUUUAUGAAUAAGGAUCGGCUAACUCCGUGCCAGCAGCCGCGGUAAUACGGAGGAUCCGAGCGUUAUCCGGAUUUAUUGGGUUUAAAGGGUGCGUAGAUGGGUUGUUAAGUCAGUUGUGAAAGUUUGCGGCUCAACCGGAAAAUUGCAAUUGAUACUGGCAGUCUUGAGUACAGGUGAGGUAGGCGGAAUUCGUGGUGUAGCGGUGAAAUGCUUAGAUAUCACGAAGAACCCCGAUUGCGAAGGCAGCUUACUAAACUGUGACUGACAUUGAUGCUCGAAAGUGUGGGUAUCAAACAGGAUUAGAUACCCGGGUAGUC
rnacentral:rRNA from 1 species